CUGCCAGUAGUCAUAUGCUUGUCUUAAAGAUUAAGCCAUGCAUGUCUAAGUAUAAGCAAUUAUACAGCGAAACUGCGAAUGGCUCAUUAAAUCAGUUAUCGUUUAUUUGAUAGUACCUUACUACAUGGAUAACCGUGGUAAUUCUAGAGCUAAUACAUGCUGAAAACCCCGACUUCGGAAGGGGUGUAUUUAUUAGAUUAAAAACCAAUGCCCUUCGGGGCUCACUGGUGAUUCAUGAUAACUUCUCGAAUCGCACGGCCUUGCGCCGGCGAUGGUUCAUUCAAAUUUCUGCCCUAUCAACUUUCGACGGCUGGGUCUUGGCCAGCCGUGGUGACAACGGGUAACGGAGGGUUAGGGCUCGACCCCGGAGAAAACGCCUGAGAAACGGCGUUUACAUCCAAGGAAGGCAGCAGGCGCGCAAAUUACCCAAUGCCGACACGGCGAGGUAGUGACGAGAAAUACUGAUACAGGGCUCUUUUGGGUCUUGUAAUUGGAAUGAGUACAAUUUAAAUCUCUUAACGAGGAACAAUUGGAGGGCAAGUCUGGUGCCAGCAGCCGCGGUAAUUCCAGCUCCAAUAGCGUAUAUUAAAGUUGUUGCAGUUAAAA
rnacentral:rRNA from 1 species